GACUGGUCCGAGGGUAGUGUGUUAUCUCAAUUGAUUGUUCACAGUCAGUACAGAUUGAACUCCUUGUUCUACUCUUUCCCCGCCUUCUCACUACUGCACUUGACUAGUCUUAA
ensembl:misc_RNA Y_RNA Y RNA